rnacentral:ncRNA from 1 species
GUCCGCAACUCUGGAGAGCGGCAGUAGAACGGGCGGCGGCGGAUCGUACCCCCACGCGUUCAGGCUGCCCACCGAAGGGGCGCGCGCCAGUCGCAGCAAGGCGCAAUCUCUCAGGUACCGAGGACAGAGGGGCCAUG